rnacentral:SRP_RNA from 1 species
GCGGGGUGCAGUGGCAUGUGCCUGUAUUCCCAGCUACUGGGGAGGCUGCAGUGGGAGGACCAAUUGAGUCCAGGAGUUCUGCAGUGCGCUAUGUCGAUCGGGUGUCCGCACUAAGUUCGGCAUCAAUAUGGUGACCUCCCGGGAGCGGGGGACCACCAGGUUGCCUAAGGAGGAGUGAACCAGCCAAGGUCAGAAAUGGAGCAGGUCAAAAAAAAAUUUGCCAUUUUUAUUUUUUAUUUUAUUUUUUUUAUUUUGCGGCAGAGUCUCAUGCCAUAGCCCAGGCUGGAGUGCAGUGGUGCAAUCUCGGCUCACUGCA